UGCUGUUCCAUUAUCAGCAGACCCGUUCGUAACUGUUUAUCUUCUAUAACUGUGACUUUCAAUAACAAAACUCUUCACCUGCAUACAGAGACGAGCAAUACGCUAUGAAACCACGAUACUGAAUGUUACGAAAAUUCACUUUCACAUUCGUGUUACUCGCAUCAAAGAGUAAACGGUCAUGAAGGUUGAGCGAUUUUUUUCACAAAAAAAUGAGAGAAACCAUCGUGCAUUUUGUAACAGUAAAAAAAAGUAUUUCAGAUUUGGCUGAAAUUUGCACCAUAGAAUGAGCUCUACCUGAGAAAUUUCGGAGCCAAAUUUGGCGUCCUCAGCUACUAUACAGGUUGAGUUAUGCAGCUUCAAACAUGAAAUUUGCAAAUUUUCAAACGAUUGACGUUGUCGUGUCGGCGAAAAUCGGUGUGUUGGAGUUUAAAAAAUAUACUUCUAUACUCUGCGAACAAUAUAUCCAAUCGUAUACAAUAUUUAUCGGAAUAAGCAUUCAAUACAGUAGAGCUCUAACAACUAUUUGUUUUCUCACUGGUUCAAGCAAUCAGUUGUAUUGUCACGAUUUCACAUAAGAGAGGUUUCCAUUCUCCUACUGUCAGAGUCGUUCUCCACGUUUCUACAACAACGUUUCACUCUUGGAAGUCUUCAUCCUCCAGACUAGUCUCCAUCCUCUUGACUCUAGACUUCACUCAGAGCAAGUGCAAUGCAUAUCUACACUAUUGGCAUACUGACUAUUUUUCUUCAUAGCAUUGCUGUCGGAGUCGUACAGGAAUCUAAAUCAUGGGUGAGUGGACUUCCAUAAUAUUGAAUACGAGCAGGUGUUAUAAUCUGUACUCCA